UUUUAUCAUAUUGAGGCAGCAGAUCAUCCCACCAUGCUUUCCCAGAAUUGUAGUUUUCAAGGGUACAAAAUACUUAAACUUCUUAUCAAAAUAUUUAAUUAUAAAUUAAACUAAUUUCCAUUUUUAACAGGGCCUUUCAUUAUCAAUAACAGGCCUGAAGACAUGGACAUUAAUUCUGCAACUACUGAGAAAUAAUCCUCUGUGGGAAUCUGAUUCUAGGACAUGAAGGGUCUAAGCAAGGAAAUUCUCAGGUAAGAAGUGUUCUCUCCUCUUUGUUCCCUUAAUGUCCCAUCAUCCUAACAAUGAGAUGUUCACACAGUAAAGGCCAUUUCUGGGUCAGAAAAGGAUAGGAUCAAUAGCUGUGUACAAUAAUGACAGAGCAGAAGAAGCCAAGGGAUUAUGGGGCUACCAUAUACUUGACUCUCCUGAGUCUACUUGACAAGCCACUUUGCAGUGUCUCAGACGUGGACAGAAAGUCAAGUUGCUGCUUUCCAUUUGUUUUCAUGCAAAGCAUUUGACAUUGCUGCCAAUGAUGGUUCAGCUCACCUAGUUUAAUGAGCUGUGAUGAUGUUGUGUGAACCUGCUACUUUCGCCUUGUACGGUCUCCCGAUUCAAACAUUGAUUCAGAUCGCUGUGGUGGUCUUAAAGGGUUUCUUGCCCAGAUAUCAGUUUUGAAUGGUUUCUCAAAUACCGUGGGCUACCGGUUUGGAGGCCAGUGAAUAAGUCACUAACUUCAGAGUCCAGGGAUAUAUCUGUUGCAAAUGAUGCUUCAAAGAAGAUAUUUUUCAGCAUUGCCUUCAUUUUCUUGUUCUUUGGGGAGGCAGACUGUCAAUUUGUUCAAACCACAAUGGCUCUUUCAAACACAAUAAUGCAGUGGAGGCCACGAGGAGCUGAUGCAAUUACCUCAUAAUCUGCCCAGAGACACAAUUAUUUUCCUAUCUGCAGGAUCUCUAGGUAAGAACUCACCUUCCAUUGGAUUACUGUCUGAUUAGUGAGGUGCUGCGACUUCCAACUUUGGAAUCUCUUGUUCUUUGGUACAAUGGAAAAAUCGCUGGAGCAGCUGGCUGGCUGUCGUGGACCUAUUAGGAAACUCCCAUUAUGCCACUCUUUGUGUGUCAAGUGGAGGGUAAAUUCACAGACCCCUUUCAGACACCGAGAGAAUACUUCCUCAGCAUUGUUUUGUAAGAACCAGCUCUCCUAUGUGCAUCUGGACUCUCCUGCCUGCUGCUGGAGAACUUGGCAGAGUAGACAAGCCAGCUUUCCGUGACAGCUGCAGCUGCUGCCUCGUUCUGAGGAUAUCACAGCUUCCACCGACACCACCAGACGCUGCACUUCGUUGUAGAACUAGGAAAGGUCUUUCCAACUUCUUUACAUAAUCUAGGCUACACACUGAAAUCUUCACAACUGCGUGUUUAUUAUAAAACACAAUUCUGGGCUGCCCAUAAGCCUUUGCUUCUCUGAAAGAAUCUUUCAGAUUUGUGCCUACUAUGUACCAUGGUUAAGGAAAAUCUAACUAUCUUUGAGCUACUCCCUCAUACUAUUUGAUGGAUUCAGACAAAAGAAAGGCAAAACAGUAAUGUGGGGUCUGUGCAAAUGGAUCUUUUUGGGGAAUGAAGGCUGGGAGAGCUCUCAGUCCUGAAGGAGACCUUGUCACUGUGAAAGAUGCUGAGUUGUGGCUCACUGACAAAGUCCCCAAUUCUGAAAUUCUUCAGAGAUGAUUCAAAGGAAGAGGAUAAUUACCAGACAAUCACCAGGUAAGGAACAUGCAAGAUUAAUGGUGGAAAAAUUGGGGAAAUAGGGAAGAAGACACUCUGCCACUUCAAGCAAUCUUUUCAUAUAUUGAUAAAUCAAACCCUGUCUGCCUAAUUCUAGUAAUCUAUCCAAAGUCACCACAUGUACCUUCAGAAUGUUCAGCCUAAGGACCUAGGAUAGAUACAGAAAUGGAGAGGCAUUCAACAUGCUUUGCUUUUUGUAGUCCUUUGCUUAUCCGUUAAGCCUUCUUCCCUGCUAAAGCAUGCCAGAACCACCUUCCUUUGAAAUGGUUUAUAAAGGGGGAAGUUCCUCUUUAAUAGUUUGGUCAAUAUCUUAAGAACUUAAAAAAGUUAUACUUUUAAUUUUGCUACCUUGUUAAUGUAAUAUCACUAUAUCUGGCAGU